AUUAGGGAAGAAAGGAAGGAUGGGUCUUAGAUUAAAAGGACCCAUAGACUGCCAAACAGGAGAGUUAGGAAUGAAUAUAUACCUAAGCACAUUAAAAUAAAAUGUAAGUCGGGCUCACUGGCACACCAGCAGCUCAGGAGACUGAGGCAGGAGGAUUGAGAGUUCAAAGCCAGCCUCAGCAAAAGUGAGGCACUAAACAACUCAGUAAGACCCUGUCUCUAAACAAAAUACAAAAUAGUGCUGGGGGUGCGGCUCAGUGGGCAAGGGCCCCUCAGUUGUUCAAUCCCCAUGCCAAAAAAUAAUAAUAAAUAAAUAAAUAAAAUGGAAAAACAGCCCAUGAAAAACAUCAGAAAGACAAAGAGAAAAUUGUAAAGGCUUACUAGAAGAGCAAAUUGAUACCACCUCACUCAAUAGAACCAUUGGACACAAGGUAAAAAACAGAGUACCAAAGGAAAGAACACUGACUUCAGAGUUUUUUAAUAACUUUAUUUUAUUUAUUUAUUUUUGGGGGCAGUGCUGAAGAUUGAACUCAGUGCCUCAUAUGUGCUAGGCAAGUACUCUGCCAAUGAGUCACAACCUCAGCCCUUGACUCUAGAAUUUUAUAUUUAUUCAAAUUGCCAUUUGAAUAUUACAGUAUAAAUAUUUUUCAGCACAUGUUAUGGAUUAGUGUCCCGACCGGCAGGACACAUCAACGAGGGCCGCGAACCUAGGUGGGGAGGAAUGAAGGGACAAGAGACAGGAGGGAUGACAGCAAGACAGGAGUUCUGAUCAAGCUGCACACUUUCAUUGUUCACACAGGGGUAUUUAUAUGCUGGGGGUAGGGAAGCUCUCUAAUCAGCAGUUGCUGGAUGUGGGUGGUAAAACUGCCAGCUGCAAGAUGUCUGAUGAUCCUGAUAACCGCAGGAUGUUCCAGGGAGAUAGGUAGCUGCAGGAUGUCUCCCAGGCAGGAUGUCUCCCAGGGGGCUGUUUAUUGUAAAUGUCAGGCUAUUCUUUAAAGGAGAAUUUCCUUCUAGCCCCUGACAGAUUAGAUUUAAGAUGUCGACAAUGCAAGCAAGAAAGUUUAGAGGUGAAAAUGAUUGGGUUAGGAGAGUAUUAACCCAAUCAGUGCAUUCGUCAGCUUGAAUGGAUUAGUUGGGUUAACUAUAGGCAGGGAGGGUGUGGCUGAAGAAGGUACAGCACUGGGAGCACAUCUUUGGG
rnacentral:lncRNA from 1 species